rnacentral:rRNA from 1 species
UACUGCCUGCCCAGUGAUAAUUAUUUAACGGCCGCGGUAUUCUGACCGUGCAAAGGUAGCAUAAUCACUUGUCUUUUAAAUAGAGACCUGUAUGAAUGGCAAAACGAAGGCUUAACUGUCUCCUUUAUCCAAUCAGUGAAAUUGAUCUCCUUGUACAAAAGCAAGGAUGCCUACACAAGACGAGAAGACCCUAUGGAGCUUUAAACACACAUUCAAUUAAUUUUUUAACCAUGAUAUGUAGUUUUUGGUUGGGGCGACCACGGAGAACAAUUCAUCCUCCGAGCAUAUAUUAACACAAUUAAUCAAGCCAAGAAAAACAUUACAAAGCACCAGAACUUCUAAUCUAUUGACCCAAUAUUUGAUCAACGAACCAAGUUACCCUAGGGAUAACAGCGCAAUCCCAUUAGAGAGUCCAUAUCGACAAUGGGGCUUACGACCUCGAUGUUGGAUCAGGAUACCCCACCAGUGCAGCAGCUGUUAAAGGUUCGUUUGUUCAACGAUUAAAAUCCU